rnacentral:rRNA from 1 species
UAAGGUGUAACCUGCCCAGUGAUCCUUAUAUUUAUAGAUUAAAAUUCUAUUAAUAGGAUUAAAAGGACGCGGUAACCUUGACCGUGAUAAUGUAGCAUAAUCACUCGCCAUUUAAUUGAUGGAUAGUAUGAAUGGUUGAACGAAUAUUCCGCUGUCUUAAAAAGAAUUAAUAAAAAUUGAAAUAAUAGUUAAGAUGCUAUUUUAAACUGUAAGACGAAAAGACCCUAUAGAGCUUAACUAUAAACUUCUUAUUAACAAAAAGAAAAAUAAUUCUUAUCAUAAGAAGUUUGGUAGUUUAGUUGGGGCGACUAUCUUUUAAAAAUAACAAAGAUAAGCAAUGUUAAUAAUUAACUUAUUGUAUAACUUAAUAGUUUAACAAUUAUUAAAAUAGGCUAUAGUGACCCGUUUUUACUGAAUAAAAGGAAAAACGAUCAAUUGAUAAAAGCUACCUUAGGGAUAACAGGAUAAUUUUAUUUUAGAGUUCCU